rnacentral:misc_RNA from 1 species
AUCACAUUCGGCAGCUGCUC